CUAAAAGCUUUCUCUUCUCAUUUCUCUCUCUCUCUCUCUCUCUCUCUGUUGCUCACGUCUGCCUCACCCUGUCUCUCCCCCUCUCUCUCUCUCUAAAGAAACCCUAGCUCCACUUCCGCCUUCCUCCGCCAGACGAUCCUGCCAAAACCCCACUUCCUCACAGCGGUUUAUUUUUCGCAGAAGCCUUGUCUUUUUCUUUCUGCCGCCGUCCUCCACUGCCUUGUGCUUCGUGCUUGUUUCGCAUCCACUCUCCUCCACUGCUUUGUGAGAGUCCGUAGCUGAGGCAUUCAUUUCAGUGAAUUAGCAGGUUGCUUUUCCAUCAGAGGUUUAUAUUCUUUGUGAUUCAAAAGAUCUGAGCUUAUAAUCAAAUCAUUGAUGGGAACUGAAGAGUCAAAGGACCCAUUGAAAGGGGUUGACUGGAAAGCAAUCGGUAGUGAGUUGCAGAAGGACCCCAGUGCUGGUGGUAAACCAGUUAUAAAGAAGCGGCUUCCUAAGAAGAUUAGACAAAUUCCAGAUUGUUAUUUUCUUCCUCGAAUGCCCCUGCCUUCUGCUAUUGCCUUCUAUGGAGCAUGUAUUGCUGGUGGUAUUGGUGCUGGGAUGCUGCUGGAGGUCUGGAUAAACAAGAAAAUUAAAGAGGAUGGGGGCGUCAUAUGGGAGUUUGACAAAUAGGGAUUGAUAUUAUUACUGGAGUUUCCAAUCAUUCCCUUGCUGAGAGAGUUUCAACAUGGGAGUCGUGUCAGAAUUUUGCAGUGUUAAUGUUUGAUGAUCUUCUUUUGUAAUCAUCCAUUUUCCAUAUGCACAUGAUAGUUACAAAUGGAGCCUGUACCCAUACAUGCAAACGAACAUCUAUGGCCAAGGUGGCCCAUGUAGGGAUUGGACCCAACUCUGUGAGCCUUUGCGAGAUUGAUUUUGCUUUGCGUCGUUGGCCAUGAUGAUAUGGUAUGUUGUUAUUUUCUUUUGCGAAGCUCUUCAGUUAACACCGGGAGAAAUAUGCAAGUGGUAGGUAUUAGUUAUGGUUAGCCAAAAUAUUAUUAAAAGAAAAAUAAUUUUUCUUUAUUUAAUGUAUUAUUCUUAUUAAAUUUAAGAAGAGAUACUGAAUUGACUUAUAAUACUUUUUGUUACAAAUAUC